rnacentral:rRNA from 1 species
UACGUAGGCAGCGAGCGUUGUUCGGAGUUACUGGGCGUAAAGGGUGUGUAGGCGGUUGUUUAAGUUUGGGGUGAAAUCUCCCGGCUCAACUGGGAGGGUGCGCCGAAUACUGAAUGACUUCGAGUGCGGGAGAGGUGAGUGGAAUUCCUGGUGUAGCGGUGAAAUGCGUAGAUAUCAGGAGGAACACCGGUGGUGUAGACGGCUCACUGGACCGUAACUGACGCUGAGACACGAAAGCGUGGGUAGCAAACAGG